rnacentral:rRNA from 1 species
AUAAUGCAGUCGACGAGAUUGAAGAGCUUGCUUUUAUGAAAGUGGCGCACGGGUGCGUAACGCGUAUGCAACCUACCCCAUACAGGGGGAUAGCCCGGAGAAAUCUGGAUUAAUACCCCAUGGCAUCAACGAACCGCAUGGUUUUGUUGAUUAAAGAUUCAUCGGUAUGGGAUGGGCAUGCGUCUGAUUAGCUAGUUGGGGGUGUAACGGACCACCAAGGCGACGAUCAGUAGGGGUUCUGAGAGGAAGGUCCCCCACACUGGCACUGAGAUACGGGCCAGACUCCUACGGGAGGCAGCAGUAGGGAAUAUUGGGCAAUGGGCGAGAGCCUGACCCAGCCAUGCCGCGUGCAGGAAGACGGCGUUCUGCGUUGUAAACUGCUUUUAUCUGGGAAGAAAAGGCCCAUGCGUGGGACAUUGCCGGUACCAGAUGAAUAAGCACCGGCUAACUCCGUGCCAGCAGCCGCGGUAAUACGGAGGGUGCAAGCGUUGUCCGGAUUUAUUGGGUUUAAAGGGUGCGUAGGCGGCUGAUUAAGUCAGCGGUGAAAGACAUCGGCUCAACCGAUGCAGUGCCGUUGAUACUGGUCAGCUUGAGUGUUGCAGGGUACAUGAAUUUGAUGGUGGUACCGGUGAAAUGCAUAAGAUACCAUCAGAACACCGAUAGCGAAUGCAUUGUACUGGGCAACAACUGACGCUGAUG